rnacentral:rRNA from 1 species
CCAGUUUGAUCAUGGCUCAGAACAAACGCUGGCGGCGUGCCUAACACAUGCAAGUCGUACGAGAAAGUCGGCUUCGGCNNNUGAGUACAGUGGCGCACGGGUGAGUAGCGCGUGGGUAAUCUGCCCCUCGGUCAGGAAUAACCCGCCGAAAGGCGGGCUAAUACCCGAUAACACUGACGCUCUGCGGAGUGUCUUUCAAAGAAGGCCUCUGUUUACAAGCUUUCGCCGGAGGAUGAGCCCGCGUACCAUUAGCUAGUUGGCAGGGUAAUGGCCUACCAAGGCAACGAUGGUUAGCUGGUCUGAGAGGAUGGCCAGCCACACUGGAACUGAGACACGGUCCAGACUCCUACGGGAGGCAGCAGUGAGGAAUCUUGCGCAAUGGGGGAAACCCUGACGCAGCAACGCCGCGUGAGUGAGGAAGGCUUUCGGGUCGUAAAGCUCUGUCAGAUGGGAAGAAAUGGAUGGAAGCCAAUACCUUUCAUUCUUGACGGUACCAUCAGAGGAAGCACCGGCUAACUCCGUGCCAGCAGCCGCGGUAAUACGGGGGGUGCAAGCGUUGUUCGGAAUCAUUGGGCGUAAAGCGCGCGCAGGCGGCUUGGUAAGUCAGAUGUGAAAUCCCUGGGCUUAACCCAGGAAGUGCAUUUGAUACUGCCUCGCUAGAGUACGGGAGAGGAAAGUGGAAUUCCUGGUGUAGAGGUGAAAUUCGUAGAUAUCAGGAGGAACACCGGUGG